rnacentral:lncRNA from 1 species
CGCCACAGACACACGCCACGCACCAAGCCCGCCGGGCGCCGAGCGCAUCGCCCAGCUCUCGCACUCACUCUCGUGCGCAGGCCCCGCAGCCGCCGCGAUCGGAGGCGGUGCUCGGCCAGGAGCCCGGCAGGGGCCGGAGAAGGAGAGGACUUGGGUGAAGAGCUGCCGCAGCACCUGAGACUCCACUGCUGCCACCGCCGCUGCUGUUACCGUGGGGACCUGCCUGAGACCAGGCCAGGGACAGAGCUUCACUGGUCAGAGGGGCUCCUUCCACCUGCAGAGAUCUGCGGAGGUGCUGACCUGACAUCAAGGAAGCAGGAGGCGGGGCCUGGUUGUCAAGUCAGGAUGGAAGCUGACUCCCUGUCCGGUGCUCCAGGCUGACUCCCUGUCUGGUGCUCCCUGUCAGGUACUCCCUGCCUGCUCGCUCCAGGGGCCUGGGCGUGCACUUUAGUCAUGUGGGCCUUGUACCCCUAGCUGUGCCGGGGUACCGCAGCCCCUUGGCUUCCUCCUCAGGGCCCGGGGUUCUGAGCCAGCUCAGCCACCCCUGGCUGGUGGUACCCUGGAAGUAUCAGGGGAAAGCUGUCCUGUUAACCUUCUUGGCACCACCAGAGGACAAGCCAGGCAAGGGACUGAAAAAGAUAUACAAAGAGGGACAUCUGAGGGGUCUGGGAAGUGACCAGCAGGAUGUCUUUCCAGUGACAGAGAUCUGAGUUCAGAUCCUGCCUCUGCCACUGUCUAGGUGGGUGGGCCUGGCAACUUUUCUCUGCCUUUCUGGACCUCAAUUUCUUCAUCUGUGUAAUGGGCAUAGUGAGAGUCGUUAGAUCACCUUGACUAUGUGAGGCAGGGGAAUGAAGUUAAAACAUACAGGGAAGUGUUUCCUGGAGUGGCAGCUGCUCUUUCUAGAACCUGUCAACCUUCUUCACUUUUCAGGCUGAGUUGGGUAAGAGGGGAGAGAGUGGUCCUGGAUGGCCCCAAAUAACAGAAGUGGGCCCAACCAGGUACAGACCUCUGUUAGUCACAGGAGACUUUGUAACAGUCAGACCUGUCUUCGGAUGGGGUGGAGGAGGAACCGAG